rnacentral:rRNA from 1 species
UACGGGAGGCAGCAGUGGGGAAUAUUGCACAAUGGGCGCAAGCCUGAUGCAGCCAUGCCGCGUGUAUGAAGAAGGCCUUCGGGUUGUAAAGUACUUUCAGUCGUGAGGAAGGUGUUAAGGUUAAUAACCUUAGCAAUUGACGUUAGCGACAGAAGAAGCACCGGCUAACUCCGUGCCAGCAGCCGCGGUAAUACGGAGGGUGCGAGCGUUAAUCGGAAUUACUGGGCGUAAAGGGCACGCAGGCGGUUAAUUAAGUUGGAUGUGAAAUCCCCGGGCUUAACCUGGGAAUGGCAUUCAAGACUGGUUAGCUAGAGUCUUGUAGAGGGGGUAGAAUUCCAUGUGUAGCGGUGAAAUGCGUAGAGAUGUGGAGGAAUACCGGUGGCGAAGGCGGCCCCUGGACAAAGGCUGACGCUUAUGUGCGAAAGCGUGGGGAGCAAACAGGGAUUAGAUACC